UUUUGGGUCUAAUUCCCACUUCAAGAUUUGGGUCUUUUGGGUCAAAAUCCCACCUCAAGAGUUGAGUUUUUGGGUCCAGAUUUGGCUCUUUCGGGUCUAAAUCCCACCUCAAGAUUCGGGUUCUUCGAGUUGCGUUUUUGGGUCCAGAUUUGGCUCUUUCGGGUCUAAAUCCCUUCCAUCAGCUUCAUAUCAUUCUCUCCAACCCUCCCCCCUCCCCAUUUAUCCUUUAUUUUGGGUUAAAAACCCCCAAAGGACGUCAAAUUCCAGCUCCGACACGACGUGGCCGAACUUCAGGCUUCCUCCAGCUCCGACCUGACCCCCUCCCACAUUUCCCUUCUCAAACUGGUUCUAUGUCGGGGUCUGUACCCCCAACUCGCCAUCCCGGACCCCCUCAAUGACAGCAGGAAGGAUUCCGACCAGAUUUUUCACACCAAAACCAAGCAGGGCAUCAGCCUUCACCCUACCUGUGUCUUUGCCACCAGCCCUGAGCUGCUUCAUGCCAAGGGAAGGAAAGAGCGCGGCACCGAAGCAGGGGACGGGAUGAGCUGCCACCACCAGCUCCUGGCCUUCGUCUCGCUGCUGGAGACCACCAAACCCUACCUGGUCAACUGCAUCCGCGUCCCUGCGCUGCAGGU